UACGUAGGGGGCAAGCGUUGUCCGGAUUUAUUGGGCGUAAAGAGCGUGUAGGCGGUUUGGUAGGUCCGUUGUGAAAACUCGAGGCUCAACCUCGAGACGCCGAUGGAAACCAUCAGACUAGAGUCCGGAAGAGGAGUGUGGAAUUCCUGGUGUAGCGGUGAAAUGCGCAGAUAUCAGGAAGAACACCCGUGGCUAAGGCGGCUCUCUAGUACGGUACUGACGCUGAGACGCGAAAGCGUGGGGAGCGAACAGG
rnacentral:rRNA from 1 species